CAGAUAUAAUCAAAUGCAAAAUCAUUACAUGAUUGUACCUUCUUUUUUUUUGGUCUUUUUAAGGCUGCAGCUGAGACAUAUGGAAAGUUCCCCAGCUAGGGGUCGAAUAGGAGCUGCCGCUUCUGGUCUACACCCCGGCCACGGCAACCCCACAUCCAGGCUGUGUCUGUGACCUACACCACAGCUCAUGACAAUGCUAGAUCCUUAACCCACUGAGCGAGGCCAGGGAUCAAACUCACAUCCUCAUGGAUCCUAGUUGGGUUUGCAACCCGCUGAGACACAACAGGAAGUCCCUAAAAUGAUUGUCCUUUUAACGUGAGGAUGUAAGUGGACUAGCUGUCAUGCUUUCUAGUUAGUUCUAAUAGACUUUUCAUGAGCCGGGAAGUUACAAAACAGUAGUUACAAUGACAUAUAAUUUAGUUUCAUAUUAUCUUGCACAAGAGAAAUUCUUAUAAAUUAAUUUAAAAAUACUGUGUGAAAGGGAAUGAGGUUUUGAAGGAGAAGUCUUGGGUUUGGGUUCUGGGUGGACCGUUGAACUCUUCAUCCUCAGCCAGCUCAUUGUCAUGGGCUUCCAGAGAAAUGAUCUAUUAAGAAGUGCUGCUAAGAGUAACUCUUCCAUUGAGUUGCUGAAAGAGCCUCGCGGAAAGCUAAUUUCUGUAAAAGAAUGCAGCCAGCUGCAGAGCUCAGUGCAAAUUUAGAGCUGUCAUAAAAGUAAUAGUCCUCGCUUUAAAUAGCAAUAUACAUACAUUUUUCUUUUAGAACUUUAUUCAUAAGAAAUUAAUAUGAAUAGUAAUAGUAAUUCUAUUACUCCAGUAGUAAUUCUAAUUCCUUCAGUAGUAAAACGAAGUGUAAUUUCUUUGCCUACAUUUGAUAGCAAGACAAUAAUGUUUAAGGCUUUCAUAGGUUUAAUAGAUAAUGGAGAUUAGAACUCUUUAAAAAUGAUCUCAUUUGUCCUUGAAUAAUAAAAAGACACUGCAGUCACAUUAGUAUUCCGUUGGCUUUUUUUAUUUUAUCCCAACUUUCUGAGCUAUUUCUUAAAGACUCAUUGAAUAUUUUGCCACCUCUUUGGGAACUCGCAAAAUGAUAUUCAGGGAAGGAUUCUUUUUUAGAACGUUACUAGGUAAGCAACAUAGGCAGAUGUGUUCCAGGUUCAUCCACCAUCCUGGUGACAGGUAAGGGCUCUUGGAAGAAAACCUCAGGAAGAGAUGAAAGGCCCUAUUUCUGGGGAAGGGGGCCUCUAGAAGGCAGAAGGCCCUCUUCUCAUGAAGGAAGCGCAUCUGCUGGAGGCCUGGAGAGGGGUCUUUGCCGAAGGGCAACGGGAGUCUUUGAGCGGCCGCCAGUCCAUUUCCUGUUACACAAAGCCAUCAUUUCCCUCCCAAUGAAAGCACUUUGGAGUUCAGACUGGAUGACUUGGAGCUAAAGUUGCCCCGCGUGAGAGUCUUUCUUCCCGGAUAGAGAGUGGGUUACUGAAGACCCAGGGAGAGAUGGGCUGGGGCGGUCUGCCUUCCAUGGCCUGUGCCCCUCCACCAAGGAUGAGAUUGAGGUGAGCAGGAGAGAGGAAAGAUGACGUCGCUGCUUCCUGGCCCUCUUUGAUUGGCCCCUGUGCUCCUCUAGCCUAUAACUCCUGCUGUUCUAAACGUGGGCAGUGUGGAAGACAUGAUGGUAGCUUGUCGUGACACCAGGCUCGGCUGAUGGACAGUCCACGUGCAGAGGGAGCCCAUCCCAUGUGAUGUCAAACCCUAGUUUGCUGGGGAACCUUAGAGCAAUGAGUAGACUUAGUGUCUUGAGCCAAAAAGCUGAAAGACAAAGGAGAGUAAAGCUAUCAUCUCAAUGAGAAUGUCUUUCCUAAACCAUUCAGUCUUCUCAAAACAGGAUGGGUAAGAAAGUGUGUUGUGUUGCCAGCACGUGCUCAGAAACACGGUGGGGGAAUCAGACAUCCUGAGAGAGGACUGGAUGGCUGGAGCAUCACACCCAUUCUCCUGGCCAGGAGUUUACAUCCAUCAGAUUGAAAAUACUGUGUCUCCAACGCAGCGUAAAGCAUGGCCACACAUCCUGGACCACCUUAGAAUUCGUUCUGCCCGGAAACAAUCCCUUUGUGUUUUCCAUCCCGUGGCAUGAUUCUCUGCCUAACUCUAGUUUUGGCAGAACUUUUGCUUCAGCCUGUCGUGUCGGAAUUCAGCUUAGGGCUGGGAUGUUUGCCUUCCGAGAAGUUAUUGGCAAGCCCCUGCUCUUGGUUUGUUUUCAGAUUUGCUGGCUGGCUGAUCUCCAAGCUUGUCCAUCAGCCAGAAAGCAUGUAUUCUGCAAAUCACAACUGGAAAUCAUCCCUGGAGCCAGGCCAGGCUGCCCGUUUCGGAAGAUAAAGUGUGCUCCACGUGGGAAUCACAGCAACAGAAUGGAUGUGUUUUAUUUUUCAUAAUGCUUGAGCCGUAAAUGUGAGCUAACGAGAGAGAACGCCUGUCAAAUACCUCACAGGUUAGGUGGGUAGUGGACAUGCCAAAUACAGUCCUUUCUCUUCUUCUUGUACCUUUUUUCUCCCUUCACUUUGCAAGUGAAGACGUAACGUGUUAGGGAUGGUUACCUAAAGCUUCUGAAAGGUCGUCAGUACGACACGGGGCGUGUGUGUGUGUGUGUGUGUGUGUGUGUGUGUGUGUGUGUGUGUGUAUAGGAUUACAGUGUCUAAUGGUACAUUUCCUGGGAACUAAGGUUAAGCUAUGCAAAAUGACAAGAGCAGUCUAAUGAUCACAAUGUAACACGCUGUCAAUUGAAGUGUAACUGCUUACCCUAAUGCCCCUUUGAAAGCUGAGGAUACAAUGUAACGCCUAUCUUAGGACCACCUGAAGUGCAUGAGCAUCAAAGGUGGGAGCAAGGCCGAGGCCUUGAACACGUCCAUGACUCCACCACUGCUAGUAAGUACAUUUCUGAAUCCACCUCCACCAACUCCAUCAGGGCUUUAAACCCCCUUCUGCUGGAGCUUUUCCCCGAUCUUGUAACUGAGCCGAUGCCUUAUGGGGCUCCUGGGCACACGAGCCUCGCUGUGUCCUCCAUGGCUUGUUUUUAGGAAGGAAGCCUCAGCCUCCAUGACCUCCCCUAAGUUCCAAAGGGCAGGUUUACACAGAUGCAAGUCAGGGAAGGGAGGGGAAGCAGAGACUGGAGAGGAGGAGCCGUCAAGACACAGUGGUGCAGGAGCGCCCGUCGUGGCUCUGUGGACUCAAAGCUGACUAGCAUCCAUGAGGACACAGGUUUGAACCUUGGCCUCUCGCAGUGGGUUAAGCAUCUGACGUUGCCAUGAGCUGUGGUGUAGGUUGCAGAUGCAGCUCAAUCUGAUGUUGCUGCAGCUGUGGCGUAGGCCGGCAGCUGCAGCGCCAAUUCAACCCCUAGCCUGGGAGCUUCCAUAUGCUGCAGGGUCAGCCCUAAAAAGCCAAAAAAGAAAAAAAA
ensembl:lncRNA